rnacentral:rRNA from 1 species
UACGUAGGGUGCAAGCGUUAAUCGGAAUUACUGGGCGUAAAGCGUGCGCAGGCGGUUGUGCAAGACAGAUGUGAAAUCCCCGGGCUCAACCUGGGAACUGCAUUUGUGACUGCAAGGCUAGAGUACGGUAGAGGGGGAUGGAAUUCCGCGUGUAGCAGUGAAAUGCGUAGAUAUGCGGAGGAACACCGAUGGCGAAGGCAAUCCCCUGGACCUGUACUGACGCUCAUGCACGAAAGCGUGGGGAGCAAACAGG